UGGCUCAGGACGAACGCUGGCGGUGUGCUUCAUACAUGCAAGUCGAACGAUAAGGUCCCUUCGGGGAUACAUAAGUGGCGGACGGGUGAGUAACACGUAGAAAAUCUACCUCGAGGAAGGGGACAACAGUUGGAAACGACUGCUAAUACCCUAUAUGAGCUGGGCUGAAACGCCUAUCUUGAAAGUUCCGGCGCCUUGAGAUGAGUCUGCGUCUGAUUAGCUAGUUGGUGGGGUAAAUGCCUACCAAGGCGACGAUCAGUAGCCGGCCUGAGAGGGUGGACGGCCACACUGGGACUGAGAACGGCCCAGACUCCUACGGGAGGCAGCAGUGGGGAAUAUUGCGCAAUGGGGGAAACCCUGACGCAGCGACGCCGCGUGAAGCGAAGAAGGCCUUCGGGUUGUAAAGCUCUGUUGUAAGGGACGAAUGUCUAGGGUAGUAACUGACCUUAGAAUGACGGUACCUUACCAGCAAGCCCCGGCUAACUACGUGCCAGCCGCUGC
rnacentral:rRNA from 1 species